rnacentral:misc_RNA from 1 species
GAUAAGAGCAGAAUUUAUUAAUAGAAGAGAAGGACAAAGUACAUCUAUGACCAUCCUCUGAAUUACAAAAAGAAACAAAAGAAAUAGCAGACAUCAUUUGAUCAAUAGCAGAAAAGAAAUAGAAGCCAAUAUAUUAAAGCUCCCAUACAUCAUUUGAACAUCAGCAAUUGACCCCUCUUUGGAAACCCUUAUUAGAAAAAGCCCAUCAUCAAGCUACAAAAACAAUUUUAUCCUUAAACAAUGGCACAUUAGGAACUUGAUCCUAAAAAAAUUACCAAAAGAGUUUUUCAUAGGCGGAAUAUUCAGUAUUUUUUUAUCUUAAUCUAUUAUGUGACUAGGACUCAAAUUCUAUCAUAUGCAAUAUCUUGUCCUAGAAAAUUAGUAGAAUAGUUGUACACAAGUGACAUGCUCCAAUAAGCAUCAUGCAAGAAAUUUCCCAAAUUAGGAAGAUCAUCAAGAGAUGGUCCGUUAGAAAUUUAGGACAGGUUUAGGUGGAUUUCUCCUCUACAGCCCCAUCAGACCCAAUGGAGUAACUAUUCCUAAACCGAUCUUACUCUGAUGCCACAUCAAAUUUUUACUAUUCUCCCUUAUUAUUUACAACAUAAUCACCCAUUUUGCAAAACUCAUAUUAACAGUUACAAUACUAAAAUUCUAUGCUAUAAUUAGUAGCAUUGGGAUAGGAGCAAAGUCUUACCCUACAUGCAAGCUUCUUCAAUCUAUCCCAAUCCAUUGCCCAAUAUGUUUUCUUUAAACUUCUGUUUAAGACAAUUCCUUAUAUGUUAAACUACUAACAUCAUCAUUAUCACCAUCAUCAUAAUAAUAAUAAUAAUAAUA